rnacentral:rRNA from 1 species
AUUAGACGAAUCAUCUGGAAAGAUGAAUCAAAGAAGGUAAUAAUCCUGUAGUCGAAAAUGUUGUCUCUCUUGAGUGGAUCCUGAGUACGACGGAGCACGUGAAAUUCCGUCGGAAUCUGGGAGGACCAUCUCCUAAGGCUAAAUACUCUCUAGUGACCGAUAGUGAACCAGUACCGUGAGGGAAAGGUGAAAAGCACCCCGGAAGGGGAGUGAAAUAGAACCUGAAACCGUGUGCUUACAAGUAGUCAGAGCCCGUUAAUGGGUGAUGGCGUGCCUUUUGUAGAAUGAACCGGCGAGUUACGAUUUGAUGCAAGGUUAAGCAGUAAAUGUGGAGCCGUAGCGAAAGCGAGUCUGAAUAGGGCGUUUAGUAUUUGGUCGUAGACCCGAAACCAGGUGAUCUACCCUUGGUCAGGUUGAAGUUCAGGUAACACUGAAUGGAGGACCGAACCGACUUACGUUGAAAAGUGAGCGGAUGAACUGAGGGUAGCGGAGAAAUUCCAAUCGAACCUGGAGAUAGCUGGUUCUCUCCGAAAUAGCUUUAGGGCUAGCCUCAAGUGAUGAUUAUUGGAGGUAGAGCACUGUUUGGACGAGGGGCCCCUCUCGGGUUACCGAAUUCAGACAAACUCCGAAUGCCAAUUAAUUUAACUUGGGAGUCAGAACAUGGGUGAUAAGGUCCGUGUUCGA